GAAUACGACAGAUAAUAAUUGGGGCCAUUUCAUAAGUCAUUGGAUGUCCUUGAAAAUGCAGUAUCAACAGGAAAAAUGAAAGAUUAUGGUUUACGAAUCAACGAAAAGGAGAAAGAAAAGUCCCACAAACAGUUAAUUUUGAUAUUUCCGAUUUUUAUUUGAAUUGUAUCUUAUAAAUCGUUCCUCGGCAUUGUGACGGAGAAGUCAACAACUGCAAUUGAAAGAGUCGAUAAGUUCAUACAAAUCAACAGUAAUGUGCGAAUGAAAAUUGAUAAAUUUUUUUCGUAUAUUAUUUAUCAUUUGUCUUCCAACGUGACGUCCACAUCAACAAGUUC